rnacentral:rRNA from 1 species
UACGGAAGGCAGCAGUGGGGAAUAUUGCACAAUGGGCGAAAGCCUGAUGCAGCUAUGCCGCGUGUAUGAAGAAGGCCUUAGGGUUGUAAAGUACUUUCAUCGGGGAGGAAAAAACAAAACUAAUAAUUUUAUUUCUUGACGUUACCCGAAAAAGAAGCACCGGCUAACUCCGUGCCAGCAGCCGCGGUAAUACGGAGGGUGCUAGCGUUAAUCAGAAUUACUGGGCGUAAAGAGCACGUAGGUGGUUUUUUUAAGUCAGACGUGAAAUCCCUGGGCUUAACCUAGGAACUGCAUUUUGAAACUGAAAUACUAGAGUAUCGUAGAGGGAGGUAGAAUUCUAGGUGUAGCGGUGAAAUGCGUAGAUAUCUGGAGGAAUACCUGUGGCGAAAGCGGCCUCCUAAACGAAUACUGACACUGAGGGUGCGAAAGCGUGGGGAGCAAACAGGGAUUAGAUACC